CCUACGGGUGGCAGCAGUGAGGAAUAUUGGUCAAUGGGCGCAAGCCUGAACCAGCCAAGUAGCGUGAAGGAUGACUGCCCUACGGGUUGUAAACUUCUUUUAUACGGGAAUAAAGUGCGGCACGUGUGAUUUUUUGUAUGUACUUUAUGAAUAAGGAUCGGCUAAUUCCGUGCCAGCAGCCGCGGUACUACGGAGGGUCCGAGCGUUAUCCGGAUUUAUUGGGUUUAAAGGGAGCGUAGACCGGUUGUUAAGUCAGUUGUGAAAGUCAGCGGCUCAACCGUAGCAUUGCGACGGGUACUGGCAGGCUUGAGUGCAGUGAAGGUAUGCGGAAGUCGUGGUGUAGCGGUGAAAUGCUUAGAUAUCACGAAGAACUCCGAUUGCGAAGGCAGCAUACUAAAGUGCUACUGACGCUGAGGCUCGAAGGCGUGGGUAUCGAACAGGAUUAGAUACCCGUGUAGUC
rnacentral:rRNA from 1 species